UACGGGGGGAGCAAGCGUUGUUCGGAUUUACUGGGCGUAAAGGGCGCGUAGGCGGUCAGCACAAGUCAGUUGUGAAAUCUCCGGGCUUAACUCGGAAAGGUCAACUGAUACUGUGCGACUAGAGUGCGGAAGGGGCAACUGGAAUUCUCGGUGUAGCGGUGAAAUGCGUAGAUAUCGAGAGGAACACCUGCGGCGAAGGCAGCUUACUAGAACAGUUCUGACGCUCAUGCACGAAAGCGUGGGGAGCGAAUGGG
rnacentral:rRNA from 1 species